UACGUAGGGGGCGAGCGUUGUCCGGAUUUACUGGGCGUAAAGCGCGUGUAGGCGGCCCGUUAGGUGGGGUGUGAAAGCCCGGGGCUCAACCCCGGGACGCCGCUUCAAACUGGCGGGCUUGAGGACGGAAGAGGGGAGUGGAAUUCCUGGUGUAGCGGUGAAAUGCGUAGAGAUCAGGAGGAACACCCGUGGCGAAGGCGGCUCCCUGGUCCGUCCCUGACGCUGAGACGCGAAAGCGCGGGGAGCAAACAGG
rnacentral:rRNA from 1 species